CUUAGAAAUCAUAUGUUAUCUAACUCUUAAUAUGUGAAAAGAUGAUGACUAUACCUUUUUUAAAAAAAGAUGAAUAAUGGUGAGUUCCCUUAUGUGUAUACAGUCUAGUAAUAUCAUUUUUAGUGCUGUUUAGUUAUCUUUUGGUAUUUUUAUUAUUGUUGUCAUCAGGUUUUAUCAUUUUCUAUUUUUUCUUAGAAUCAAUAACAACUGAUUUUAACUUACAGAUUGCUACCAGAAUAAUCUUCUUACUGGUUUCUGAAGUCGUAGUUACAUCAUUGGGAAAUGGAAUGCUAGAACUGACAAGAUCAACCCAAUCCUUACCAAGGGGUGAUUCAUUAAAGGAGAACUUUGGUUGCAUGGACGUAGAUGGAAUGUUGAAAUUGUUCCAUGAUCAUGUCUCCACAUGUUAGCUUCAUCAUAGUUGUCUUUAUUUUUUUUAAUGACGGUGGUGUUCGGGCCCACCUGUGUGUACCUUCUACUAUUCAACAAGUACAUGCUACCUCCCACCAACACAAAUUAUCUCAAGAAAAUCAUAGUAGAAGAUCAUUCAAGUCAACAAAAGUCAAAGGAUGUUAUGACCGAAGAGGAAAAACUGCUGCGAGAAGAAAACGAACUUCUGGAGGACCAUAUAGCUACUAUCAAGAAAAACACAAAAGUGAAUGAGAUGUCAAUGGACUUCACUGACCUUCCACCACCCCACAUAAUUUGUGGACAACAGAGAGCGACCCUGAAUUUCCUCUACCGAUUAUUGUUGUAUUUGUCAAAUAGCCCCGGGAGUAAUAACCUGCAAAAUUAUCACAAGUCAAGGUGUCUCCAGGAAUAGCUAAUAUUGUGCAGUUUCAAUAAAACUAAUUAUUCAUCUGAGCUUUGGCCCUCCGGCUUGUGUUUUCGUUGCAUGUCCAUGAACUUAUUCAUGUUUCUAUUGGAGGAUGAUUAAUUUAUAUCUGUACUUGAGGCCAUGCAAUUGUUUUGUGAAAUUUCUAGAAAAGAAUCAAAACCUAAUAUUGUUAACCUAUAAUACCAUCUUGCAAGGUCUGUAUUAAGUUGGAAGAACUGGUGAAGCAAAACAAAUUUACGCUGAGAUGCUAUUUGUAGGGAGCAAGCCGAAUAUAUACACUCAUGUCACUUUGCUCAAUGGUUAUUUUAAGUGUGGACUUAUUGAAGAAGGGUUGUUGGAUGAAGAUACAAAAAUUCUAAGAAAAAUGAAAGACAACGGUUGUUCUCCAAACAAUGUCACUUAUAAUGUCAUUGUGCAAGGAUUUCUCAGGUGCAACAAAAUUAGUGAAAUGACAUCCUUUAUCAAGGAAAUGUCUGGAAGGGGCUUCUCAUUUGAUGCAACUACAGCUGGUGUUUUGGUAGACAUUGUAAGGGAGAAUUCUUCUGUCAUUGACAUGAUACCAGAGCUUCAAUCGAAUAAUAAGAAGUGAAUAUUUUUUUUGUUUGGUUUAUUCGGCUACGCUAUCGCUGUGAUACAAUUUCCUUAUCAUCCCUACUAAAGAAAUGGCAUCCAAUGCAAUUGUACAAGCUGAUGGCAAUUAGCAUGUUGCUUGAGCUUUCUACACAGGCCUUUUGAGGAGGCCCUCCUGUGUGCACCUUCAACUAUUCAGCAAGUACAUGCUACCUCCCACCAACACAAGUACCAGAUAUCUUUGACUACCAGAUAUGUUCAGUUGUCUAUGGAAUAUUUAAUCUUGUGGACAAUUUAAGAUAGGAGUAAAACAUGUCUAUUUCCUUCCAAGUUUAGUUUAUCAAGUGAUGCAAUCAUGUUCUGUCAAAAUUUAACCUCGUCUUUAGAAUGUUUUGAAUGUCAGUUGUGAUUGUUUGUUUCUUCUUCAUUAACGUAAUAGAGUGCACCUGAUGUUUAUGAAUGUCAU